GAGUGACCAACCAGCCAUCCAGUCAGUCGUUCCAGUUUUGCGGUGUCCAGCACCGUUGCUUUUGCUGCAUGAAUCGGUAACCGGUUCAUUGGGGGACUCGCUGUGGAGACCAGAAAGCGAUGUUCUCUUCUCUUGAUGCCUGACUGUAGCUGCACAAGGGUCUAGCCGUUACACCCGGUGCAGUCACGAAUGUAGCCGAACGUCGAAUGACGCUGAAAAUAAGGACAUUAACCGGCAUAAGCUGUAAAAUAAAACAAAUAAUCUGUGAUAAUCGUAACCUAACAUAAUCUGCAAAACAAAAAAGUAUAAAAAUGAAGAGAAAACUUAGUAAAAAAAGUACAGUAAUAGAUCCUGGGUCCGUAUGCAUGGAAGAAGUAAUCAUGACUGAAGUAUUAUUAAGUAUCAUUACUUCCUACUUGUCGUAGGCUAGCAACAUUUGCCAAUUUCAAUUUUGGAUUUGAAGAUAUAGACAACGAACAGCUUGGUUCAUUCUCACUUAAGGUCUGAUAGUUCACCUCAUUUAUUGCGAUCGUAAAGUUAUGGUAGGAACAGACAACACGAACGAAGUGGCGAUUUAGACAUCUCAUCUAGGAUUGGUCCGGUGCAUGGCCACAAUAAUCGUGAACUUUCGUGACUGCACCAGGUGUAACGGCAAGGCCAUACUGUUGGCUGCCUCCGCGACUACUUGGUACUUGGUUCCUUGACUGCGAUCCAUGCCUUCGUCUGCAUCAGUGUGCAGCCGAGUUUAACGUCUAGUCAUUUCUUUUUGCGGAUACUAACCUACAGCACUCAUAUACACUCUCGUACACAGUCUCUGUUCGGUCUUUGGUUUGUUCGUUCGUCCGUCCGUUCGUUCAUUCGCUGGUUGCUUCGGUCUCUGGCGCGAUUAUUACUGUAAUUGUCAGGUGUUAGUUAAUGCAGGGCAGCACGUGCUCUGUGUCGCUGUUAUUAGCCACUUGUUGCGCCUCGUAUAGCCUUGAAAGGCCGAUGUAUCGUUGUUAAGCAGACAUUUGGAUCGUUUCUUUCUUAAUACGGGUCGUAUGGUCAAAAAUAUCGCGAAUUUUUCACUGACGGCCUCUCGGUAACUAUACAUCGAUGAUGUUCUUGAUCUGAGUGUGUUUACAGUUAGUUGUUUUCUUACGCGGUGCUUCUUUUGGAUGCAGUGAUGUGAAGUGUUGCAUGGGUAGACGAUUAUUUAUCAGAGUUGUUCCUGUUCACGAGGACCAGUCGUUGCUAA